rnacentral:rRNA from 1 species
CGGGUGGCUGCAGUGGGGAAUAUUGGACAAUGGGGGGAACCCUGAUCCAGCCAUGCCGCGUGUGUGAAGAAGGCCCUCGGGUUGUAAAGCACUUUCAGUGAGGAAGAACGCCUGGUGGUUAAUACCCAUCAGGAAAGACAUCACUCACAGAAGAAGCACCGGCUAACUCCGUGCCAGCAGCCGCGGUAAUACGGAGGGUGCGAGCGUUAAUCGGAAUUACUGGGCGUAAAGCGCGCGUAGGUGGCUUGAUAAGCCGGUUGUGAAAGCCCCGGGCUCAACCUGGGAACGGCAUCCGGAACUGUCAAGCUAGAGUGCAGGAGAGGAAGGUAGAAUUCCCGGUGUAGCGGUGAAAUGCGUAGAGAUCGGGAGGAAUACCAGUGGCGAAGGCGGCCUUCUGGACUGACACUGACACUGAGGUGCGAAAGCGUGGGUAGCAAACAGGAUUAGAUACCCCGGUAGUC